CGAAAGUAAGACUUAAUACCCCAAUGAUAUCUCUAGAAGACAUCUGAAAGAGAUUAAAAGAUUUAUCGGUGAUGGAUGGGGAUGCGUCUGAUUUAGCUUGUUGGCGGGGUAACGGCCCACCAAGGCAACGAUCAGUAGGGGUUCUGAGAGGAAGGUCCCCCACAUUGGAACUGAGACACGGUCCAAACUCCUACGGGAGGCAGCAGUGAGGAAUAUUGGUCAAUGGACGAGAGUCUGAACCAGCCAAGUAGCGUGCAGGAAGACGGCCCUAUGGGUUGUAAACUGCUUUUAUAAGGGAAUAAAGUGAGUCUCGUGAGACUUUUUGCAUGUACCUUAUGAAUAAGGACCGGCUAAUUCCGUGCCAGCAGCCGCGGUAAUACGGAAGGUCCGGGCGUUAUCCGGAUUUAUUGGGUUUAAAGGGAGCGUAGGCCGGAGAUUAAGCGUGUUGUGAAAUGUAGAUGCUCAACAUCUGAACUGCAGCGCGAACUGGUUUCCUUGAGUACGCACAAAGUGGGCGGAAUUCGUGGUGUAGCGGUGAAAUGCUUAGAUAUCACGAAGAACUCCGAUUGCGAAGGCAGCUCACUGGAGCGCAACUGACGCUGAAGCUCGAAAGUGCGGGUAUCGAACAGGAUUAGAUACCCUGGUAGUCCGCACGGAAAACGAUGGAUGCCCGUUGUUGGUCUGAAUAGGUCAGCGGCCAAGCGAAAGCAUUAAGCAUCCCACCUGAGGAGUACGCCGGCAACGGUGAAACUCAAAGGAAUUGACGGGGGCCCGCACAAGCGGAGGAACAUGUGGUUUAAUUCGAUGAUACGCGAGGAACCUUACCCGGGCUUGAAUUGCAGAGGAAGGAUUUGGAGACAAUGACGCCCUUCGGGGUCUCUGUGAAGGUGCUGCAUGGUUGUCGUCAGCUCGUGCCGUGAGGUGUCGGCUUAAGUGCCAUAACGAGCGCAACCCCUCUCCUUAGUUGCCAUCAGGUGAAGCUGGGCACUCUGGGGACACUGCCACCGUAAGGUGUGAGGAAGGUGGGGAUGACGUCAAAUCAGCACGGCCCUUACGUCCGGGGCUACACACGUGUUACAAUGGCAGGUACAGAGAGACGGUCCCUUGCAAAAUGGAUCAAAUCCUUAAAGCCUGUCUCAGUUCGGACUGGGGUCUGCAACCCGACCCCACGAAGCUGGAUUCGCUAGUAAUCGCGCAUCAGCCAUGGCGCGGUGAAUACGUUCCCGGGCCUUGCACA
rnacentral:rRNA from 1 species